rnacentral:rRNA from 1 species
UACGUAGGGUGCAAGCGUUGUCCGGAAUUAUUGGGCGUAAAGAGCUCGUAGGCGGUCUGUUGCGUCGGCUGUGAAAACCCGGGGCUCAACUCCGGGCCUGCAGCCGAUACGGGCAGACUAGAGUUCGGCAGGGGAGACUGGAAUUCCUGGUGUAGCGGUGAAAUGCGCAGAUAUCAGGAGGAACACCGGUGGCGAAGGCGGCUAUCUGGACCGUAACUGACGCUGAGGCGCGAAAGCGUGGGGAGCAAACAGG